UACGAAGGGGGCUAGCGUUGCUCGGAAUUACUGGGCGUAAAGCGCACGUAGGCGGCUUUCUAAGUCGGGGGUGAAAUCCUGGAGCUCAACUCCAGAACUGCCUUCGAUACUGGAAAGCUCGAGUCCGGGAGAGGUGAGUGGAGCUGCGAGUGUAGAGGUGAAAUUCGUAGAUAUUCGCAAGAACACCAGUGGCGAAGGCGGCUCACUGGCCCGGUACUGACGCUGAGGUGCGAAAGCGUGGGGAGCAAACAGG
rnacentral:rRNA from 1 species